GAUGAACGCUAGCGGGAGGCCUAACACAUGCAAGCCGAGCGGUAUGGGUAGCUUGCUACCCAGAGAGCGGCGUACGGGUGCGUAACACGUGUGCAACCUGCCCCUAUCCGGGGGAUAGCCCUCCGAAAGGAGGAUUAAUACCCCAUAAUAUAUCUGGUGGCAUCCCUAGAUAUUGAAAACCCCGGUGGAUAGGGAUGGGCACGCGCAAGAUUAGAUAGUUGGCGGGGUAACGGCCCACCAAGUCGAUGAUCUUUAGGGGUCCUGAGAGGGAGAUCCCCCACACUGGUAAUGAGACACGGACCAGACUCCGACGGGAGGCAGCAGUGAGGAAUAUUGGACAAGGGGUGGAAGCCUGAUCCAGCCACCCCGCGUGAGGGACGACGGCCAUAUGGGUUGUAAACCUCUUUUGUACGGGGAUAAACCUAUCUACGUGUAGAUAGCUGAAGGUACCGUACGAAUAAGCACCGGCUAACUCCGUG
rnacentral:rRNA from 1 species